rnacentral:misc_RNA from 1 species
GUUUUCAGUAGCUUUAUUCUGUUAUAAAUUCACACCUGCACUUUUUUGGGUCAUUUUUAUGUUAUAGGAACUUUUUAUAUACUCAAAUAAAUUCUUAUAGGAGUCAUGCCAUUAAUAAUUUUGUCAUGUUAUUUACAGUACACAAUUGUUAAAAUAUUCUUCAGCCCUGACAUCCAUUUUCCUUGGUGGUUAUUUUUUUAGGAUAUGUUGAAUAGGUUGUCAAAUUAUUGCUACAAUAUUCACUUUAAUUGACCAUCCAAUUUUAACAACAUCAGCUUCCCUUACACUUUUUGUCCAUAAUUUUCUGCUUCUGUAUGUCUAGUUGAUUGGCAUUAUUCAUCUAUUUUUCUUGUUCCCUUCUCCCCUUUUGUAUGCAAUCAAGCACUGAUUCCCCCUGUUUUUUUCUUUUGUAGACUUGUAGUUCAAUUCAGAAAAUAUAAUCAUACUUUGUUUUUGACAUACCCAUUUUGUACUUUAACAGAACAUAAAUACGAAAUUGUUA